UACGUAGGGUGCGAGCGUUAAUCGGAAUUAUUGGGCGUAAAGGGCUCGUAGGCGGUCCAUCGCGUCGGGAGUGAAAAGCUGGGGCUUAACCCCAGUCCUGCUUCCGAUACGGGUGGACUAGAGGUAGGUAGGGGAGAUCGGAAUUCCUGGUGUAGCGGUGAAAUGCGCAGAUAUCUGGAGGAACACCGGUGGCGAAGGCGGCAUCCUGGACCGGCAUUGACGCUGAGGCGCGAAAGCCAGGGGAGCAAACGGG
rnacentral:rRNA from 1 species